GGUUAAGCGACUAAGCGUACACGGUGGAUGCCCUGGCAGUCAGAGGCGAUGAAGGACGUGCUAAUCUGCGAUAAGCGUCGGUGAGGUGAUAUGAACCGUUAUAACCGGCGAUUUCCGAAUGGGGAAACCCAGUGUGUUUCGACACACUAUCAUUAACUGAAUCCAUAGGUUAAUGAGGCGAACCGGGGGAACUGAAACAUCUAAGUACCCCGAGGAAAAGAAAUCAACCGAGAUUCCCCCAGUAGCGGCGAGCGAACGGGGAGGAGCCCAGAGCCUGAAUCAGUGUGUGUGUUAGUGGAAGCGUCUGGAAAGGCGCGCGAUACAGGGUGACAGCCCCGUACACAAAAAUGCACAUACUGUGAGCUCGAUGAGUAGGGCGGGACACGUGGUAUCCUGUCUGAAUAUGGGGGGACCAUCCUCCAAGGCUAAAUACUCCUGACUGACCGAUAGUGAACCAGUACCGUGAGGGAAAGGCGAAAAGAACCCCGGCGAGGGGAGUGAAAAAGAACCUGAAACCGUGUACGUACAAGCAGUGGGAGCCUCUUAAUGGGGUGACUGCGUACCUUUUGUAUAAUGGGUCAGCGACUUAUAUUCUGUAGCAAGGUUAACCGAAUAGGGGAGCCGAAGGGAAACCGAGUCUUAACUGGGCGUUAAGUUGCAGGGUAUAGACCCGAAACCCGGUGAUCUAGCCAUGGGCAGGUUGAAGGUUGGGUAACACUAACUGGAGGACCGAACCGACUAAUGUUGAAAAAUUAGCGGAUGACUUGUGGCUGGGGGUGAAAGGCCAAUCAAACCGGGAGAUAGCUGGUUCUCCCCGAAAGCUAUUUAGGUAGCGCCUCGUGAAUUCAUCUCCGGGGGUAGAGCACUGUUUCGGCAAGGGGGUCAUCCCGACUUACCAACCCGAUGCAAACUGCGAAUACCGGAGAAUGUUAUCACGGGAGACACACGGCGGGUGCUAACGUCCGUCGUGAAGAGGGAAACAACCCAGACCGCCAGCUAAGGUCCCAAAGUCAUGGUUAAGUGGGAAACGAUGUGGGAAGGCCCAGACAGCCAGGAUGUUGGCUUAGAAGCAGCCAUCAUUUAAAGAAAGCGUAAUAGCUCACUGGUCGAGUCGGCCUGCGCGGAAGAUGUAACGGGGCUAAACCAUGCACCGAAGCUGCGGCAGCGACACUAUGUGUUGUUGGGUAGGGGAGCGUUCUGUAAGCCUGUGAAGGUGUACUGUGAGGUAUGCUGGAGGUAUCAGAAGUGCGAAUGCUGACAUAAGUAACGAUAAAGCGGGUGAAAAGCCCGCUCGCCGGAAGACCAAGGGUUCCUGUCCAACGUUAAUCGGGGCAGGGUGAGUCGACCCCUAAGGCGAGGCCGAAAGGCGUAGUCGAUGGGAAACAGGUUAAUAUUCCUGUACUUGGUGUUACUGCGAAGGGGGGACGGAGAAGGCUAUGUUGGCCGGGCGACGGUUGUCCCGGUUUAAGCGUGUAGGCUGGUUUUCCAGGCAAAUCCGGAAAAUCAAGGCUGAGGCGUGAUGACGAGGCACUACGGUGCUGAAGCGACAAAUGCCCUGCUUCCAGGAAAAGCCUCUAAGCAUCAGGUAACAUCAAAUCGUACCCCAAACCGACACAGGUGGUCAGGUAGAGAAUACCAAGGCGCUUGAGAGAACUCGGGUGAAGGAACUAGGCAAAAUGGUGCCGUAACUUCGGGAGAAGGCACGCUGAUAUGUAGGUGAAGCGACUUGCUCGUGGAGCUGAAAUCAGUCGAAGAUACCAGCUGGCUGCAACUGUUUAUUAAAAACACAGCACUGUGCAAACACGAAAGUGGACGUAUACGGUGUGACGCCUGCCCGGUGCCGGAAGGUUAAUUGAUGGGGUUAGCGGUAACGCGAAGCUCUUGAUCGAAGCCCCGGUAAACGGCGGCCGUAACUAUAACGGUCCUAAGGUAGCGAAAUUCCUUGUCGGGUAAGUUCCGACCUGCACGAAUGGCGUAAUGAUGGCCAGGCUGUCUCCACCCGAGACUCAGUGAAAUUGAACUCGCUGUGAAGAUGCAGUGUACCCGCGGCAAGACGGAAAGACCCCGUGAACCUUUACUAUAGCUUGACACUGAACAUUGAGCCUUGAUGUGUAGGAUAGGUGGGAGGCUUUGAAGUGUGGACGCCAGUCUGCAUGGAGCCGACCUUGAAAUACCACCCUUUAAUGUUUGAUGUUCUAACGUGGGCCCCUUACCGGGGUUGCGGACAGUGUCUGGUGGGUAGUUUGACUGGGGCGGUCUCCUCCUAAAGAGUAACGGAGGAGCACGAAGGUUGGCUAAUCCUGGUCGGAC
rnacentral:rRNA from 1 species